rnacentral:rRNA from 1 species
GCGGAGGAACAUGUGGUUUAAUUCGAUGAUACGCGAGGAACCUUACCUGGGCUUAAAUGGGGAGUGACAGCUGUCGAAAGAUGGUUUUCUUCGGACACUCUUCAAGGUGCUGCAUGGUUGUCGUCAGCUCGUGCCGUGAGGUGUCGGGUUAAGUCCCAUAACGAGCGCAACCCUUACCGUUAGUUACCAUCAGGUUAAGCUGGGGACUCUAGCGGGACUGCCACCGUAAGGUGAGAGGAAGUGGGGAUGACGUCAAAUCAGCACGGCCCUUAUGUCCAGGGCUACACACGUGUUACAAUGGCCAGUACAAAGGGCAGCUACCGGGUGACCGGAUGCUAAUCUCUAAAGCUGGUCUCAGUUCGGAUCGAAGUCUGCAACCCGACUUCGUGAAGCUGGAUUCGCUAGUAAUCGCGCAUCAGCCAUGGCGCGGUGAAUACGUUCCCGGGCCUU